CUGCCGGCUUCCAAGGGCUCUGCUUGUCCAGCUCCCGUCACCUGUGAGUGACCAGCAACAAAAGCCUGACAGCACAGCAGUGACAGGGAUGCUCACUACAAGAUCAGAGAUUGAAGACCCCACUUUCCUUUCUAAAUCAAUCCUUAGUGAUACUUCAGGAUUACAGUAAGGAACCUGCUGCUGCUGCAUGGAUCCGUGCCUCCAAAUGGGGACAAGCGGCCACAUAGCCUUGAACCCACAGACUUCAGUGGAUGCCCGCCCCUCCUGGGGACACAUCAGACACAUCCUCCACUUCCUCUCUGCUCUCCUGGAUUUGAAGAAGACCACGUAGCUCACCGUGUGCCAGAGGCGGCCAUCUCAAGUGAAUAUGCAGCUGCUGGUGUCCCACUGCUCUCAUAAAGUGCUGGCAACCCCCAUACAUCCACAUAAACAGAUGCACAGCUCUGGAACGCAUCCUCUGCCAGCCAAAUGGAGCACCGAAAUCAGCCACGUAUGCACGGAAAGCAAGAAAUCAAAGCAAGCAAAGACAUCAUAUAAAUGGAAUCAACAACUCCUGUGCAUUUGGAAAGGCUAGUAGCUGUGGUUCAAGAUGCUUGCAUUUAAUAUAAAAUACAAGACUGUUCUAAUCCAGCCUAGUCAAGUCCCAGAGUCUUACACUGCCUUCAACUUCAUCAAACCAUAGAUUCUGAAAACAGCAUUUUAAGUGGAAAGGAUCUCUGAACAACAAGAAGAGCCAAGUCAGCCUUUCAAAUCACACCAGACCACCAUGUGAUGUGAAUUAAAAAAACCCACCACCCUGUAUGUAAUGACAGAAACCAUGGAAUUCAAAAGCAGCGUCUGUGUCCUGUGUCAUAAUUGGCACUUGGAUUAACAACAUGGGAAUAACAUCAGCUAUUUUUAAAACAUAUCGCUUAGCUACUUUCUGAAACACAAAAUGCAGUGUAAAACUGUGCAGAACACAAACUAGCCACAGAGCUUGUUGAAAUGCACUUGCUAAAAAUGCUACAGAGUUUAGACAGAAUCCCUUUGGAUGAGCUCAGAUGUCUUCCAAAACCUAAGGAAACAGUACAUGUGAUAGGAUAGGCAGAUCUGUAGCUCCAGCAAAUUUUCUGAUGGGCAGAGUGAAAAGAUGGCCUUUGAGAUAUUUGGGAACUAAGAGGUAAUAAAAAAGCAAGAUAUCAGAUUUUCUUCUAGUUGAAGUAAUUCGAAGAAAAACCAAACCAAACCAACUAAACAAACAAAAACCUCAAAAUACAGUUAUGCACUACCAGCACCUGAUAACAUUAACUCUAUCUCAUAGACCAGUGAAAUGGCCAGCAAUAAUUUAUAAGCAAAGUUCAGUGUCAGUAUAAGAUGCAGGAUAUAUCUCAGGGCAGGGGCUGAACUACACCAAUCUGUAGUAACUCGGCAGGAUCACACUUUUCCUAAGUGGCCAUAUUUUGUGCUCCAAAAUCCAAGUCCAAUUAAUUGGCUGGCUUCUGUGGUGGCAAAGUUAUCUGGUCAGUGAAGAUGAAUAGGAGUGGUUCUUCAUUACAGUGAUGGAUUUUCUCAUCCAGCCUUCGACUGUGACCGAUGCUGCAGUCCCCCAGCUCCACCUAAGGACAAGUAUGAAACAAUAUGUUGUCAUAGGGCACUGGUACUAACUUUGGAAGAAGUGGAAUUUUGAGUAUACACAGCAGUGUUCCGGGUAUAUGGUUUAAGAUGUCAGCCAGAUGUGUGCAGUGGGCCACGGUGAUGCACACAGCUGAGUCAAAACAAAAUGAAAAUAGAAGCAUUUAGUAGGAAACCAACUGGGAAUCUCUUCUUCCUUCAAAAUGUGGCCGUUGCUCUUUGAUUACAAAUGCCCAAGGCCCAUUCCAUCUGGUCCAUAGAUUAGGAUGUCAUUGCCUCAGUAAAAAAUGAAUCACUGCUGCAGAUGUAUUGGCACUUUUCUGGAGUUUUUCUGCAUCUAAUAUCAUCUGGCUAUAGGAUGCCACCAGGAUGGUAUACAGCAGCAUCAGGAUUUUCAGGCAGCUGAUAUGUUAAUGUAACCAUAGGCAUGUAGUACAUAACAAUAGGGAAGCAGUAUGAAAGCCUUGGUUUCCUACAUAACAAAUGGAGAGAAUACAUAUUUAUUUAUUUACUUUUAUUAAACAAUGAGCAUUAAUCUCUGCUGGAAGCAAAUUACCUGUGUGAGAAUCUGGUGGCUGUAAAUCAUCCACUCUGAGGCUCUGUUGGUGGCAGUGUCAACACCUGCCUGCGGAGGCUUGAUGUUACCAGCAUGAUGGAUGCCAGCUUCCACCAUCCAAAUGGGUGCUGCCUACAGAUACGGGAUGAGUGACCUUAGUCUGGACCAGCAGGACUUUUUAAGAACAGAAUCCCCUACCAGUGAUUAAAGCAAUGUCCUCAGAGUAGCCCUCGCUGAUAUCUUCAAUGAAAGCAAAUAGUUUAUCAAACACAGAAGUUGCUAGGAUUUUUAUGCGUUGGGUUUUGUGCUGCUGAGUGAAGGGACUGAUCCCAGCCUGGGGCACUGUCCUUGUUCUCUCAUUCAAAGCAGACCUGAGGGAGACCCAACCCAGCUGGCGCUGGCGAUGGGACAGGAUGGGGAGCCAGUAUCCCUGGCCAGCUCCAAGAUCAUGAGCCUAUAGAAAAAUUUCUUUCAGUUGCCCUGCUACACUUACACCUUGGAGCCAGGACUGCUCACUCUAAUGCCUCAGUGGCACCUGCGUUUACUGAAUCCAAAUAGGUUGGGAGUAGGUGCAGAGCCUCCUGAAAUGUCUCUGCUAAAGGAACAACCUCC
ensembl:lncRNA